rnacentral:rRNA from 1 species
GCUUGUCUCAAAGAUUAAGCCAUGCACGUCUAAGUAUAAGCGAUUAUACUGUGAAACUGCGAAUGGCUCAUUAUAUCAGUUAUAGUUUAUUUGAUAAUUGAAAAUUACAUGGAUAACCGUGGUAAUUCUAGAGCUAAUACAUGCUAUCAAGCCCGACUUCUUGAAGGGUUGUAUUUAUUAGACUUAAGCCAAUAUUCCUUGUGUCUAUUGCGAUGAUUCAUAAUAACUGAUCGAAUCUCAAAUUUGAGAUAAAUCAUUCAAGUUUCUGCCCUAUCAGCUUUCGAUGGUAGUGUAUUGGACUACCAUGGCAGUAACGGGUAACGAAGAAUUAGGGUUCGAUUUCGGAGAGGGAGCAUGAGAAACGGCUACCACAUCUAAGGAAGGCAGCAGG